GAUGAACGCUGGCGGCGUGCCUAAUACAUGCAAGUCGAGCGAACAGACGAGGAGCUUGCUCCUCUGACGUUAGCGGCGGACGGGUGAGUAACACGUGGAUAACCUACCUAUAAGACUGGGAUAACUUCGGGAAACCGGAGCUAAUACCGGAUAAUAUAUUGAACCGCAUGGUUCAAUAGUGAAAGACGGUUUUGCUGUCACUUAUAGAUGGAUCCGCGCCGCAUUAGCUAGUUGGUAAGGUAACGGCUUACCAAGGCAACGAUGCGUAGCCGACCUGAGAGGGUGGUCGCCCAACUGGAAACGGAACCACGGCCAAGACCCCUGGGGGAGGAAGAAGGAGGAAUUCUCCAGAAAGGGGCAAAACCCGGAGGGACAACCCCGGGGGGAGUGAGAAAGUUUUUGGGAUCAAAAAACUUUUUUAUGGGGGAAAAAAAAAUGUGAAAGAAACUAUGCCCUUCUGGGGGGUACUUAAUAAGAAGCCCAGGGCAAACUACGCC
rnacentral:rRNA from 1 species